rnacentral:rRNA from 1 species
AGCGAACGCUGGCGGCAGGCCUAACACAUGCAAGUCGAACGAACCUUUCGGGGUUAGUGGCGGACGGGUGAGUAACACGUGGGAACGUGCCUUUAGGUUCGGAAUAACUCAGGGAAACUUGUGCUAAUACCGAAUGUGCCCUUCGGGGGAAAGAUUUAUCGCCUUUAGAGCGGCCCGCGUCUGCUUAGCUAGUUGGUUGAGGUAAUGGCUCACCAAGGCGACGAUCAGUAGCUGGUCUGAGAGGCUGAUCAGCCACAUUGGGACUGAGACACGGCCCAAACUCCUACGGGAGGCAGCAGUGGGGAAUCUUGCGCAAUGGGCGAAAGCCUGACGCAGCCAUGCCGCGUGAAUGAUGAAGGUCUUAGGAUUGUAAAAUUCUUUCACCGGGGACGAUAAUGACGGUACCCGGAGAAGAAGCCCCGGCUAACUUCGUG